UUAAAAAAAGAGGAAUCGAACCUUCCCCGAGAGAUCAAAACCCUUCAUACUUCCUUUAUAUUACUUUCU
rnacentral:tRNA from 1 species